rnacentral:rRNA from 1 species
CAAUCUCAGUUCAGACUGCAGGCUGCAACUCGCCUGCACGAAGUCGGAAUUGCUAGUAAUCGUAGGUCAGCAUACUACGGUGAAUACGUUCCCGGGCCUUGUACACACCGCCCGUCAAACCAUGAGAGUUGGCAACACCCGAAGUCGGUAGUCUAACCGCAAGGAGGACGCCGCCGAAGGUGGGGUCGAUGAUUAGGGUUAAGUCGUAACAAGGUAUC